rnacentral:rRNA from 1 species
UACGUAGGGGGCAAGCGUUGUCCGGAUUUAUUGGGCGUAAAGAGCGUGUAGGCGGCCAAGCAGGUCCGCUGUGAAAACUCGAGGCUCAACCUCGAGACGCCGAUGGAAACCAUGUGGCUAGAGUCCGGAAGAGGAGAGUGGAAUUCCUGGUGUAGCGGUGAAAUGCGCAGAUAUCAGGAAGAACACCCGUGGCUAAGGCGGCUCUCUAGUACGGUACUGACGCUGAGACGCGAAAGCGUGGGGAGCGAACAGG